rnacentral:piRNA from 1 species
UGUGCGAUGAGGGCUUGGCCAUUCCUCGGA